ACUUUAAUAAAAAUCGCGCGUGGCCUAGUGGGUAGACCCUUGGUUUGCACUCGAGAGGGUGCAGGUUCGAUUCCGGGUGGAGGCGU